rnacentral:rRNA from 1 species
UACGUAGGGUGCGAGCGUUGUCCGGAAUUACUGGGCGUAAAGAGCUCGUAGGUGGUUUGUCGCGUUGUUCGUGAAAACUCACAGCUUAACUGUGGGCGUGCGGGCGAUACGGGCAGACUGGAGUACUGCAGGGGAGACUGGAAUUCCUGUGUAGCGGUGGAAUGCGCAGAUAUCAGGAGGAACACCGGUGGCGAAGGCGGGUCUCUGGGCAGUAACUGACGCUGGAGGAGCGAAAGCGUGGGGAGCGAACAGG